GACAGAGGGUGCGAGCGUUGUUCGGAAUCACUGGGCGUAAAGCGCGCGCAGGCGGGUUCGCAAGUCGGAAGUGAAAUCCCGGGGCUCAACUCCGGGGCUGCUUCCGAAACUGCGAGUCUAGAGACCAGUAGAGGUUGGUAGAAUUCCCGGUGUAGCGGUGGAAUGCGUAGAGAUCGGGAAGAAUACCCGUGGCGAAGGCGGCCAACUGGGCUGGAUCUGACGCUGAGGCGCGAAAGCGUGGGGAGCAAACAGG
rnacentral:misc_RNA from 1 species